AACGAACGCUGGCGGCAGGCUUAACACAUGCAAGUCGAGCGCCCCGCAAGGGGAGCGGCAGACGGGUGAGUAACGCGUGGGAACGUACCUUUUGGUUCGGAACAACUCCGGGAAACUGGAGCUAAUACCGGAUAAGCCCUAACGGGGAAAGAUUUAUCGCCGAAAGAUCGGCCCGCGUCUGAUUAGCUAGUUGGUGAGGUAACGGCUCACCAAGGCGACGAUCAGUAGCUGGUCUGAGAGGAUGAUCAGCCACACUGGGACUGAGACACGGCCCAGACUCCUACGGGAGGCAGCAGUGGGGAAUAUUGGACAAUGGGCGCAAGCCUGAUCCAGCCAUGCCGCGUGAGUGAUGAAGGCCUUAGGGUUGUAAAGCUCUUUUGUCCGGGAAGAUAAUGACUGUACCGGAAGAAUAAGCCCCGGCUAACUUCGUG
rnacentral:rRNA from 1 species